rnacentral:rRNA from 1 species
GAUGAACGCUGGCGGCGUGCUUAACACAUGCAAGUCGAGCGGAAAGGCCCUUCGGGGUACUCGAGCGGCGAACGGGUGAGUAACACGUGAGCAACCUGCCCCAGGCUUUGGGAUAACCCCGGGGAAACCGGGGCUAAUACCGAAUAUUACCUCCGGACGCAUGUUUGGUGGUGGAAAGUUUUUCGGCUUGGGAUGGGCUCGCGGCCUAUCAGCUUGUUGGUGGGGUGAUGGCCUACCAAGGCGACGACGGGUAGCCGGCCUGAGAGGGCGACCGGCCACACUGGGACUGAGACACGGCCCAGACUCCUACGGGAGGCUG